AUGAGUGUGCGCACACCUGCAGCUUCAAAAUUACCAUGUCUCAAAAAGGCGCACAUUAAUAGUGUGCUCUCUCUCCCUCUCGUGCGCACACACACACACACUGACUCGUGCACAGAUUAUUCAAGCCUGUUCAGAUAAGACAACUUCAGAACAUCCAGUAACCAAUCAAAAGGAACCAUGAUAAGUCUCAAAACGCUGUGUCUUUUGUACUUUGCUUUGCUCGUUGGACUGACACAUGCUGAGGAAUCAACCACAUUAGCAAACAAUGAUACAAAAGCUCAGGAUUCAACCACCAUAAAAAACGAGGCUGCAAAUCCUCAGGACGCAAACAACACAGCAACCAAUGAUACAAUUACUCAAGGCAGAAAUAACCCAGACCUCAAUAUUACAACAAAUGAUACUGAAAGAAAAAAUAACCAAACUACUUCCAACCUUCAAACUGAGUACAUAUCACCAUUAUCAU
ensembl:processed_transcript